GACGAACGCUGGCGGCGUGCCUAAUACAUGCAAGUAGAACGCACAGUUUAUACCGUAGCUUGCUACACCAUAGACUGUGAGUUGCGAACGGGUGAGUAACGCGUAGGUAACCUGCCUGGUAGCGGGGGAUAACUAUUGGAAACGAUAGCUAAUACCGCAUAAUAUUAAUUAUUGCAUGAUAAUUAAUUGAAAGGUGCAAUUGCACCACUACCAGAUGGACCUGCGUUGUAUUAGCUAGUAGGUGAGGUAACGGCUCACCUAGGCGACGAUACAUAGCCGACCUGAGAGGGUGAUCGGCCACACUGGGACUGAGACACGGCCCAGACUCCCACGGGAGGCAGCAGUAGGGAAUCUUCGGCAAUGGACGAAAGUCUGACCGAGCAACGCCGCGUGAGUGAAGAAGGUUUUCGGAUCGUAAAGCUCUGUUGUAAGAGAAGAACGGGUGUGAGAGUGGAAAGUUCACACUGUGACGGUAUCUUACCAGAAAGAGACGGCUAACUACGUG
rnacentral:rRNA from 1 species